rnacentral:misc_RNA from 1 species
AACAAGGCGUACCUGCGGACCUGCGGAAGGAUCAUUACUAAGUCACGUGCUCAAACAACCCUUCUGUGGACCUGAAAUAAAACCGUUGCCUCGGCGGGCGGUCCCCCCCAAACCAACCCCACGUGGUGGGUUAGGGGAGACCAGACAGUCCGGUACGCUUAAGGCGUCCGGCGCCGGCCGCUGGCCCCAAACAAUUAAACUCUAGUAAUCUUUACCUUCUGAGUUUCAAUAUUUAAAAAU